GACGAACGCUGGCGGCGUGCUUAACACAUGCAAGUCGAACGGAAAGGCCCUGCGUUUGUGGGUUGCUCGAGGGGCGAACGGGUGAGUAACACGUGAGUAACCUGCCCUUGACUUUGGGAUAACUUCAGGAAACAGGGGCUAAUACCGGAUAUGAGCUCCUGCUGCAUGGUGGGGGUUGGAAAGUUUCGGCGGUUGGGGAUGGACUCGCGGGUUAUCAGCUUCUUGGUGGGGUAGUGGCUUACCAAGGCUUUGACGGGUAGCCCGCCUGAGAGGGUGACCGGCCACAUUGGGACUGAGAUACGGCCCAGACUCCAACGGGAGGCAGCAGUGGAGAAUAUUGCACAAUGGGCGGAAGUCUGAUGCGGCAACGCCGCGUGCGGGAUGACGGCCUUCGGGUUGUAAACCGCUUUCGCCUGUGACGAAGCGUGAGUGACGGUAAUGGGUAAAGAAGCACCGGCUAACUACGUG
rnacentral:rRNA from 1 species